AUUGAACGCUGGCGGCAGGCCUAACACAUGCAAGUCGAGCGGAUGAAGGGAGCUUGCUCCUGGAUUCAGCGGCGGACGGGUGAGUAAUGCCUAGGAAUCUGCCUGGUAGUGGGGGAUAACGUCCGGAAAAGGGCGCUAAUACCGCAUCCGUCCUGCGGGAGAAAGUGGGGGAUCUUCGGACCUCACGCUAUCAGAUGAGCCUAGGUCGGAUUAGCUAGUUGGUGGGGUAAAGGCCUACCAAGGCGACGAUCCGUAACUGGUCUGAGAGGAUGAUCAGUCACACUGGAACUGAGACACGGUCCAGACUCCUACGGGAGGCAGCAGUGGGGAAUAUUGGACAAUGGGCGAAAGCCUGAUCCAGCCAUGCCGCGUGUGUGAAGAAGGUCUUCGGAUUGUAAAGCACUUUAAGUUGGGAGGAAGGGCAGUAAGUUAAUACCUUGCUGUUUUGACGUUACCAACAGAAUAAGCACCGGCUAACUUCGUG
rnacentral:rRNA from 1 species